rnacentral:rRNA from 1 species
GUGUGUUCCAGGUAAAUCCGGUUCACUUUAACACUGAGGCGUGACGACGAGGCACUACGGUGCUGAAGCAACAAAUGCCCUGCUUCCAGGAAAAGCCUCUAAGCAUCAGGUAACAUCAAAUCGUACCCCAAACCGACACAGGUGGUCAGGUAGAGAAUACCAAGGCGCUUGAGAGAACUCGGGUGAAGGAACUAGGCAAAAUGGUGCCGUAACUUCGGGAGAAGGCACGCUGACACGUAGGUGAAGUGAUUUACUCAUGGAGCUGAAGUCAGUCGAAGAUACCAGCUGGCUGCAACUGUUUAUUAAAAACACAGCACUGUGCAAACACGAAAGUGGACGUAUACGGUGUGACGCCUGCCCGGUGCCGGAAGGUUAAUUGAUGGGGUCAGCGCAAGCGAAGCUCCUGAUCGAAGCCCCGGUAAACGGCGGCCGUAACUAUAACGGUCCUAAGGUAGCGAAAUUCCUUGUCGGGUAAGUUCCGACCUGCACGAAUGGCGUAAUGAUGGCCAGGCUGUCUCCACCCGAGACUCAGUGAAAUUGAACUCGCUGUGAAGAUGCAGUGUACCCGCGGCAAGACGGAAAGACCCCGUGAACCUUUACUAUAGCUUGACACUGAACAUUGAGCCUUGAUGUGUAGGAUAGGUGGGAGGCUUUGAAGUGUGGACGCCAGUCUGCAUGGAGCCGACCUUGAAAUACCACCCUUUAAUGUUUGAUGUUCUAACGUGGACCCGUUACCCGGGUUGCGGACAGUGUCUGGUGGGUAGUUUGACUGGGGCGGUCUCCUCCUAAAGAGUAACGGAGGAGCACGAAGGUUGGCUAAUCCUGGUCGGACAUCAGGAGGUUAGUGCAAUGGCAUAAGCCAGCUUGACUGCGAGCGUGACGGCGCGAGCAGGUGCGAAAGCAGGUCAUAGUGAUCCGGUGGUUCUGAAUGGAAGGGCCAUCGCUCAACGGAUAAAAGGUACUCCGGGGAUAACAGGCUGAUACCGCCCAAGAGUUCAUAUCGACGGCGGUGUUUGGCACCUCGAUGUCGGCUCAUCACAUCCUGGGGCUGAAGUAGGUCCCAAGGGUAUGGCUGUUCGCCAUUUAAAGUGGUACGCGAGCUGGGUUUAGAACGUCGUGAGACAGUUCGGUCCCUAUCUGCCGUGGGCGCUGGAGAACUGAGGGGGGCUGCUCCUAGUACGAGAGGACCGGAGUGGACGCAUCACUGGUGUUCGGGUUGUCAUGCCAAUGGCACUGCCCGGUAGCUAAAUGCGGAAGAGAUAAGUGCUGAAAGCAUCUAAGCACGAAACUUGCCCCGAGAUGAGUUCUCCCUGAGACUUAGAGUCUCCUGAAGGAAC